AUUGAACGCUGGCGGAAUGCUUUACACAUGCAAGUCGAACGGCAGCACGGGGGCAACCCUGGUGGCGAGUGGCGAACGGGUGAGUAAUGUAUCGGAACGUGCCCAGUCGUGGGGGAUAACGUAGUGAAAAUUACGCUAAUACCGCAUACGAUCUACGGAUGAAAGCGGGGGAUCGCAAGACCUCGCGCGAUUGGAGCGGCCGAUAUCAGAUUAGGUAGUUGGUGGGGUAAAGGCUCACCAAGCCAACGAUCUGUAGCUGGUCUGAGAGGACGACCAGCCACACUGGAACUGAGACACGGUCCAGACUCCUACGGGAGGCAGCAGUGGGGAAUUUUGGACAAUGGGCGAAAGCCUGAUCCAGCCAUUCCGCGUGCAGGAUGAAGGCCUUCGGGUUGUAAACUGCUUUUGUACGGAGCGAAAAGGCUCUCUCUAAUACAGGGGGCUCAUGACGGUACCGUAAGAAUAAGCACCGGCUAGCUACGUGCCAGCCGCCGCGGUAAAAC
rnacentral:rRNA from 1 species